rfam:Schistosoma mattheei strain Denwood, Zambia genome assembly, scaffold: SMTD_scaffold0009522
GUCACCACUCGUUUCGGCGGUACAUAUACUAAAAAUGGAACGAUACAGAGAAGAUUAGCAUGGCCCCUGCACAAAAUCGUGGAGCGUUCCAUAUUUUC